UGCCAGGGUCAUAUCACCCUGCAGCUUUUGUCUGGUUUCCCACUGAAGCUAUGCAGAGUUGAGCCUUGCUAGUACCUGGAUGGGAGACCUCCUGGGGAAAGCUAAGGUUUCUGUUGGAA
rnacentral:rRNA from 1 species